ACAUGUACCGUCGCUCUGGG
rnacentral:miRNA from 1 species